UAAACAAAACAGAAUUUGAGCAAAGAACACUUUAAACCCAACAACAGGAUAUGGAAUCCACAUGGGGAUUUGAUGGUUGUUGAAAAUCUAGACUGUCAGGACAGAGAAAAACCAUCAUAACAAACAAGUUUGUUUCAAAAAUAGACGCCUGAAGCAAUUUUGUUCUGUAUUUUUCAAAACUAGAAUUUCUUUCUGGGUUCCUCUCCCAGGGAUUCUGUUCCUUCAGAAGCCAGGAAGCACGGAGGAAGGUGUCAGGUUCUCAUCUCCCAAUGGCAAAAGCACCAUUCCAGGACCCACAGGGAUUAGAAGCAGCCACUUCCACCAUCCCAGCUCUGCCUCUCAUCACCUCACUGUUAGCCCUGUGAUGUGGCCUUACCAUCUAAACUCCUAAGGAAAAGAAAAGUAUUUGUUUUGCUGACUAA